CUCACUUUCUGUACGUCCUAUAGCGAACAUUACAUUAUGCAAAUUAUGCGAUGACGUCAUUUAGCGACAUCUAGCGACUUUUAGGACAGCCAAUAGCUACUUUCCUUACUGAGGAGUUGGCAACACUGCUCUGGGCACGGUGUCAUUCUUGAAGACGCUGACGCAGAGGAAACACGGUGUCCGAGUCAUUUGAUUAACAACUCCCCUUUUCAGUGGCAGACAGGUAGCAGCACGUGGUGCGGUUUGGCCCUGCCGCUCUGCUUCUCCACAGAGACCAAUCUGGACCUGGGGCUUCGGCUGGAGGGGCACUGCUGCUCCAUCUGGAGGUUGAGUGAGCCUGAGCUUGGAUGUGGGUUAUGUGGCGGUUUGUAGAGAGCGACUCUCUGUUUCCUUCUCCCUGCCGUAUGGACACCAACUCACAGACAGCAAACAAGCCAUGGUGAUGGUGGCUUGUGCCUGCUAAAGUAAACACAGUAGCAGGCACAGCCACACACUGCUGUUGGCGGUAACAUGGCCCUCUGGCCUCUGUUCCACCUCACCAGGCCACAUUAGCUCUGUUGGAUUGGCUCCUCAAACAACUUAGCGGUCAAAUGUCCCCUCCACACCACAGGAACGAAGGAUCUGCCUGGUCACUGAGACGGUGUCGGAAAAGUGAAAUGCUGGUAUCAGCUUAGAUCGGGGAUGGAGAUGCAACUUGUGGCUCAGGGGUGUGUUUGACUGUGACAGCUGUGGAAACAUACCCUGUUUGUUUUAAUGUCUGUCCAUGGGAUGUCCUGGGUCCUGUUAUCAUGAUCAUUCAGCCUGAAAAGUCAAUUCACUAUAAAUCUAACUUGCAGUUGAAUGAGACCUGGCUAAGCCAAUUUAAAAUGUAAACACCAAUUGGCCAUUAUUAUGUCCAAAGAUAUGAACAGCUUUAUUAAUUCAACAAAAGUGAUGAGCUGGUGUUUGAUCAGAUUAGAGAAUACUUUGGUCAGGCUUCACUAACAGUCGCCUUAUUUAUCUUUCUACAUUUUGUCAUACAAACCAUCAAGACACAUACUUUGGUGGAUGAGCUUUGGACGUACUUAUAAAAAGGUAUUUAUUAUCUCUUAUCGCACAGACGGAACUUCAGACUCUGAUGUUGAUCAAACCUGCCAUCUAAAAUCAUAAAAACAAAUUUUUUGAGCUACAUACAUUUUCAGGAAAACAUCAUUGCUGCCAUUUCCAGUGUAAAGUUUGUUUUUAUUGCAAGUUUUAGGAGGAUGGAAGGUAUGCUCUUCUUACAAUGCUCAGGACCUUGACCGCAGAAACCAAUGUUUUCACACUCCCCCUUAAGACAGCAAAAACACUAUUAUCAGGCUUAAGGAAAAAUGUGCUUUCAGUUAAAUGUUGACAAAGUGAAUGUUGUCAAAAUCUUUCUAAGGUUAUCCCUGACUGACACACUCCCACAUUUGCUUAAGCUACACUUGGUCUUUGAGUUAUAUGAAGACAAAAAACCUCAAUCAUAUUUGAGUUAGCCAAUGCUUGGACAUGUGCAUCAUGCAGCAUUCUCCUCCUCAGAAUUACUUCCCUCUGGCAGAAGACUGCAGGCCAUCAGGAACAAAACCUUAUGCCACAAUAAAAAAAAUUCUCCCGAUAGCACUGGGGGUCAUCAGUUAGGCUCAUGACCACAUCAUUGUACUGCAUAAAUGUCUUGUGACUGUGAAAUCUGAACUUUUAUAAAGAAUAACAGUCGUACUGUGCAAACGUUCAAAUAAGUACAUAUAUAACAUCCAUAUUGCACAUAUCUGCUUCUAGUGUUUAUAAUAAAUAUAUACUUUCCCCUAUGUGUAUAUUUAUGCUUAUGUUUACCACAGCAAAAUCCUUGUAUGUACACACCUACUUGGCAAUAAACCUUGAU